rnacentral:rRNA from 1 species
CCUACGGGGAGCAGCAGUGGGGAAUCUUGCACAAUGGGGGAAACCCUGAUGCAGCGACGCCGCGUGAGUGAAGAAGUAAUUCGUUAUGUAAAGCUCUAUCAGCAGGGAAGAAAAUGACGGUACCUGAGUAAGAAGCCCCGGCUAACUAAGUGACAGCAGCCGCGGGAAUACGUAGGGGGAAAGCGUUAUCCGGCGUUACUGGGUGUAAAGGGAGCGUAGGCGGCAGUGCAAGUCUGGAGUGAAAGGUGGGGGCGCAAACCGCGGACUGCUCAGGAAACUGUCAGGCUGGAGUGCAGGAGAGGGAAGUGGAAUUCCUAGGGUAGCGGUGAAAUGCGUAGAUAUUAGGAGGAACACGAGUGGCGAAGGCGGCUUAAUGGACUGUAACUGACGUUGAGGCUCGAAAGCGUGGGGAGCGAACAGGAUUAGAUACCCGGGUAGUC